rnacentral:rRNA from 1 species
CUGGCGGCGUGCCUAACACAUGCAAGUACGAGCGGAGAUAUAUGUCGAAGGAGCUUCGGCGAAUUCAAUAUAUCUUAGCGGCGGAUGGGUGAGGAACACGUGGAGAACCUGCCCUUCACAGGGGGAUAACAGUUGGAAACGACUGUUAAUACCGCAUAUGCUCACAGUGCCGCAUGGCACAGGGAGGAAAGCCGAGACGGUGAAGGAUGGCUCCGCGCCGGAUUAGCCAGUUGGCGGGGUAACGGCCCACCAAAGCGAUGAUCCGUAGCCGGCCUGACGAGGGCGACCGGCCACAUUGGGACUGAGACACGGCCCAAACUCCUACGGGAGGCAGCAGUGGGGGAUAUUGCACAAUGGGGGGAACCCUGAUGCAGCCGACGCCGCGUGAAGGAGGAAGUGCUUCGGCAUGUAAACUUCUAUCAGCAGGGAAGUAAGAUGACGGUACCUGCACAAGAAGCCCCGGCUAACUACGUGCCAGCAGCCGC